CAGUAACAAGCCCCUGAAGAUCCCCUACAACUACAGACAUUCUGUUGUUCCUGAAAGCCAGCUGUGCCAGGACAUCCUUCUCAAUGAGACUGUGUCAGAAAUAAAGUCCAAGCAACACUUCAAAGGAGUGAGUUUUGAGGAGAGUUAUAAAAUGGACUGACAAAAUACAUGGACCGGCAAAAUAAGUGUUUCUGGUCAUCACUACAAGGCAGGAGUUAUUGAGUUUGGAGGGUGUAAUCAUACAGAGCCUGAAGAUAAAAUUGUUGGAGAUAUGGGCACACAGAAGACCAAAAUGUGUGAGACAAAGAGAGGUCUUAACCUUCAAUGCUUUCGUGAUGUAGACAGAGACUGUGUCUGUUGGACCGUGGGGCCCUGGGGAUGCAGCGUUGACAUGGCUGCCUCAGAAAAGAGGAAAGCCUCGUCCUGCACGAACAAGGAGAAGGACACGUACAGUGAGUGUCUGACGCCUGACUGCUUUCCGAGGUCAGGUGGCCUGGGGUGACCUCUGGAAGGCUACAGAACAUAACGUGGCAAUGUGCUGGUACUUUAUAUCCUAAAGAGUGUGGAAGACAC